rnacentral:rRNA from 1 species
UGCCACAGCCAUAUCACCGUGCAGCCCAAGACUGGUUGCCCACUGAAGCUAAGCAGGGCUGAGCCUGGUCAGUACCUGGAUGGGAGACCUCCUGGGAAAACUAGGUUGCUGCUGGAA